AGGAAGAUCUCUAAUUGGGGCAGGGUUCCUCCUCUGUCCACGAGGGGGCAGAGGUGGUUACCUCACAGCCCUGUGAGGGGAAGUUCAGGAACCUGGUGUCAUAUUUGGGGUGUCUCUGCUGUCCCUGCUGGUUUGGCACUUUCCUGCCAGAUGGAAACCCCAGCUUGGCCAGAGCCGUGCCAGGUAAUCAGGUGACAUGCUACGCUCUCCCUGAGUACCACCUCACCUCUCUUCCCCCUACCAGUCUGGCACUGAACUCCGCCGAGAUGUGAGCCCGCAGGUUUUGGAAUCAAGAUCAUUCUAGCUCCGUUAAAUGAACGGGGAAUGUUUUCUAUGCCUUAGACCAUAUAAAAGAUACAAGAAUCACCUGUUUCUUAAUAGAGACAGACUAUAGAACUUGGCUGCAAACCUAUUCUGGGUCCAUCUGUAUUUGGAUGAGUUCCCUCUCUUAGGAAGGGAGGACAGUAAGAAGCUCAUCUGCAGUUUAGCUCUGUGGACGUGAUGUGGUGACUGCUUCUCUCCCUUCUACCUUCCGAACUUCUUGCUUAUCCAAGAUUGACAGUGAUUGUCAUCUAACUACAGCUUUUCUUUCUCGUUUGGAGCACUGAGAGAGAAACUUGGUCUGUCUGUUAUCAGGAACACUAUACUGCAGGUAAGCAAAAUGUAAAAUCUAAGAAAACACUCCAUGCUCCGUUACGUCUUUCCCUGUUAUCUCAUGGGACCAACCCAGCUUGUGUGAUGGGUAUCACACUCUUCUCCUGACAGUUUCUCCUUGAAGAAUGGUCAUGUGACAAGUGGCCACGAAUGACCAAAAAGUCUCUUGGACCACUUUCUCAAUAUUGUCCAAGGAUUCCUUUCACACAGGCAUAGUACUAAGUGCUUUAAAGGAAUUAUCUCAUGCAAUUCUCACAACCUCUCGAUGACGCAAAUACAGUUGACCUUGAACAACACAAGUUUGAACUGAGUGGGUUCACUUAUGCAUGGAUAUUUUCUUUAUAAAUAGGGUACAGUACUAUAAAUGUAUUUUCUCUUCUUUAUGAUUUUCUAAAUAACAUUUUCUUUUCUUUGGCUUACUUUAUUGUAAGAAUACAAUAUAUACUAUAUGACAUACAGAGUGUGUGUUAAUCAACUAUUUUUGUUAUUGGGAAGACUUCUGGUCAACGGUAGGCUAUUAGUAGUUAAGUUUUUGGAGAGUCAAAAGUUAUACGCAGAUUUUCUACUGUGUGGGGGUGGUCAGGGCCCCUAACCACCAUGUUGUUCAAAGAUAAACUGUAAUAUUAUUUUUUAAA